CUAGCUCUUUCCAGACACACCACACUUAAACCACUUUUGUGUUCCAGCAGCGGUCGUUUAUUUCUCUCACCACUGAAGUCAUACUUUGUUUUGUAGAAUGUCAUGUUAUUAAAUGGGAAACUACUCAUCAUCAUCAUCAUCAUCAUCUGGACAAUGUCAUGAGGAUGGACCACACCCAAUUCCUGGGUGACUACCGGAGGACAGUCACCACACAAAUCCAAACCUCUAUCUUUUGGAAAAGAUGAGUAAGAAGGAAAAAAGAAAAAUGAAUAAGGUGGAUUUAUUGAGGAAAAAGACACAAGUAGACAUUUGGUGGAUGUUAAGGACGCCUUUUGGACAACUCCUGCGAAAAGAUGUCGCACACCUGCAGCUGAUUAGGGUAUAAUCCCCCCUCUUGAGAGCUGACCUGAGGGUUCUUCCAACAUGACACCAGCUCCUAAAUCAGCACCAAGUGAACCUCUGAGCAACAUCUGUGGCAUGCUGGCAUGAUGUGAAGUGUUUGCCAUUCCAGAGGGUGCAGUGGACUUCGGGCAGCUUGCAGCUGCCAGCAAGUCCAAUAUCUCUGGCUUUGGUAAAAAUGUCAGGGAGGACGCGUGCUCCUCUCGGGCAGAAGCUGCUCACCUUCGCCCCGGCCUGUAGAAAAAAGCUUGGAACACACAUCUGUAAUACUUCACAUAUCAUCUAAAAGUGUGUGCAGCAGCAAUAUGUGGAAGCAGUGCAGUAAAGGCCAGACAGCUAUUGGAGCCCCGGAAGGGCAGCAAUAAGGCUGGUAUGUCACAGUGUCCCCUCUCGCUAUGCGGCACGCCACCCUGCAUGCGCCUGAGAGCUUUUCCUCCCUGCUGGGGCGAGCAAGCCGCUCUGUCCCGACCACAAAGACUUCUCAAAACUCCCGAAAGCGAAGACGUCAGCUAUGCAGCCGCUCCCAGCAGGAGCCGUGGAGCGCCUCGGCGGGGUACCGGCGGGUACCGGGGGGCGCCGGAAUGACGGUGCCACCUGUUUGCUUCGGCUAAACAUCCCACGCGGCGCACUGGGACCAGGACAUGGUGCUUUAGCUUCAGCUAGACGUCUUCGCCAUCCUUAUGUCCGCCAAGAGGGGUCAUGUUUUAAUUGGGGGGGAAAAAUAUAUUUAAUGUUGUAAUAUGGUUUCUGUAGGAGGACAAACAUGACACAAACUUUUGAAAUCCCACUGUUUAGUAUAUAUGUGUGUUUGCUUCACUGAUGAGAGUAUUCGGCGAGCGUCGAUUUGUCCUGCUAAUUUCCGUGGCCCUUGAACCCACCGUUGUGCUGACUGUGACUCAACUGUUCGUUCACAUGUAGAACUAAAUCCCGACUUUUUGACAAAAUACAUCCUGACUUUCUGAGACUUACAAAAAAAUCCAGAUUUUUUUAAACAAAAAAAAAAAAAAAACCCAAUUUUUUACAUUAGAAAUAA